rnacentral:rRNA from 1 species
UGGGGAAUUUUGGACAAUGGGCGAAAGCCUGAUCCAGCAAUGCCGCGUGUGUGAAGAAGGCCUUCGGGUUGUAAAGCACUUUUGUCCGGAAAGAAAUCCUUGGCUCUAAUACAGUCGGGGGAUGACGGUACCGGAAGAAUAAGCACCGGCUAACUACGUGCCAGCAGCCGCGGUAAUACGUAGGGUGCAAGCGUUAAUCGGAAUUACUGAGCGUAAAGCGUGCGCAGGCGGUUUGCUAAGACCGAUGUGAAAUCCCCGGGCUCAACCUGGGAACUGCAUUGGUGACUGGCAGGCUAGAGUAUGGCAGAGGGGGGUAGAAUUCCACGUGUAGCAGUGAAAUGCGUAGAGAUGUGGAGGAAUACCGAUGGCGAAGGCAGCCCCCUGGGCCAAUACUGACGCUCAUGCACGAAAGCGUGGGGAGCAAACAGGAUUAGAUACCCUGGUAGUCCACGCCCUAAACGAUGUCAACUAGUUGUUGGGGAUUCAUUCCUUAGUAACGUAGCUAACGCGUGAAGUUGACCGCCUGGGGAGUACGGUCGCAAGAUUAAAACUCAAAUGAAUUGACGGGGUCAUAGCUGUUUCCU